GCUGGAUUCGCUAGUAAUCGCGCAUCAGCCAUGGCGCGGUGAAUACGUUCCCGGGCCUUGUACACACCGCCCGUCAAGCCAUGGGAGCCGGGGGCGCCUGAAGUCCGGGACCGCGAGGACCGGCCUAGGGCGAAACUGGUAACUGGGGCUAAGUCGUAACAAGGUAGC
rnacentral:rRNA from 1 species